rnacentral:lncRNA from 1 species
GCCGGUGGAUCCUGUUUCCUUGUAGAAGCUCGUCUGGGAUCCGGCUACGAAGAAGCUCGGCUGAAGUCUACCUGUAAUAGAAGUUUGGAAGAAAUUUAUUGACAGUAGAGACUCGAAUGGAAUUCGCUUACAAUAGAUAUUCGGGGUAGACCGUCCGCUGUAGGAGUUCGGAGCAGACCACUCGUAGUAGAAGUUUGGCUCUCGCAGGAGCUCGGUCGGAAUCUUGAAGGCGGUCGACCGCCGUAGAAACUUGGAUGGAGUUUGAUUACUGUGAAAAUCUCAUUG